UUAUUGUUAUUAUUGUAAUUAUUAUUAUUAUUGUAAUUAUUAUUUUUAUUAUUGUUGUUAUUAUUAUUAUUAUUAUUAUUAUUAUUAUUAUUAUUAUUAUUAUUAUUAUUUUUACUAUGGUUAUUUUUGGAAGGGCAUUGUCCUCUUUCCUUUGCUUCCUUUUGAUUUAUCUUUUCAUUAAUUUUUUUUUAUAUUUACUUAACAACUAGGAUCAGUUUAUCGGAAUACCAGACAAGAUAACGUCCGACAACGAGUUUCAAAUCAGCAAUUCAACAGAGAGUACAUCUUCAACUUCGACGGCACGCUAACAGGAUCGUCACCAUCUAAAUGCAUUUUCCUCUUCCGUUUUCUUCCUUUCAUUGAUGUUUUUAUUUAUUUUUUUUAUAAUUACUUUUUGUGAUUGUGAUUGUGAUUAUGAUUGUAAUUGUGUGUGUUUGUGUUUGUGUUUGUGUUUGUGAUUGAGAUUGUGAUUGUGAUUCUGAUUUUGAUUGUGUUUGUGAUUGCAUUUAUGAUUGCGUUUGUGUUUGUGAUUGUGUUUGUGUUUGUGUUUGUGUUUGUGUUUGUGAUUGCCUUUGUGAUUGCGUUUGUGUUUGUGAUUGUGAUUGUGUUUGUGUUUGUGUUUGUGUUUGUGUUUAUGUUUGGGUUUGGGAUUGUGAUUGUGAUUGUGAUUGUGAUUGUGUUUGUGUUUGUGUUUGUGUUUGUGUUUGUGAUUGUGUUUAUGUUUGUGUUUGUGUUUGUGUUUGUGUUUGUGUUUGUGUUUGUGUUUCUGAUUGUGAUUAUGAUUGUGAUUGUGACUGUAAUUAGUAUUGUGAUUGUGAUUGAUUGUAAUUGUGAUUGUUAUUAUUAUUGUUAUUAUUUUUAUUGUUAUUAUUAUUAUUAUUAUUAUUAUUAUAAUAAUUAUUAUUAUUAAUUUUACUAUGGUUAUUUUUUGAAGGAUAUUGUCCUCUUCCCUUUGCUUCCUUUUGAUUUAUCUUUUCAUUAAUUUUUUUUAUAUUUACUAAACAACUAGGAUAAGUUUAUCAGAGUACCAGACAAGAUAACGUCCAACAACCAGUUUCAAAUCAGCAAUUCAACAGAGAGAACAUCUUCAACUUCGACGGCACGCCACCAGGAUCGCCACCAGGAUCGCCACCAGCUAAGUGCAUUUUCCUCUUCCGUUUUCUUCCUUUCAUUAAUCUUUUUAUUUAUUUUUUUUAUAUUUACUUAUUGUGUUAUUAUUAUUAUUAUUAUUAUUAUUAUUAUUAUUAUUAUUAUUAUUAUUAUUAUUAUUAUUAUUAUUAUUUAUUAUUAUUAUUAUUAUUAUUAUUAUUAUUAUUAUUAUUAUUAUUAUUAUUGUUAUUAUUAUUAUUAUUAAUGUUAUUCUUGUAAUUAUUAUUUUUAUUAUUGUUAUUAUAGUUAUUAUUAUUGUUAUUAUUAUUAUUAUUAUUAUUAUUAUUAUUAUUAUUAUUAUUAUUAUUUUUGCUAUGGUUAUUUUUGGAAGGGCAUUGUCCUCUUCCUUUUUCUUCCUUUUGAUUUAUAUUUUCAUUAAUUUUUUUUUAUAUUUUACUUAACAACUAAGAUCAGUUUAUUGGAGUAUCAGACAAGAUAACGACCGACAACCAGUUUCAAAUCAGCAAUUCAACAGAGAAAACAUCUUCAACUUCGACGGCACGCCUCCAGGAUCGCCACCAGAUCAAUUUAUUGGAGUACCAGACAAGAUAACGUCCGACAACCAGUUUUAAAUCAGCAAUUCAACAGAGAGAACAUCUUCAACUUCGACGGCACGCCACCAGCUAAGUGAAUUUUCCUCUUCCAUUUUCUUCCUUUCGUUGUUCUUUUUAUUUAUUUUUUUUAAUAUUUACUUAUUGUGUUAUUAUUAUUGUUAUUAUUAUUAUUAUUAUUAUUAUUAUUAUUAUAUAUUAUUAUUAUAAUUGUUAUUAUAAUUAUUAUUAUUGUUAUUAUUGUAAUUAUUAUUUUUAUUAUUGUUGUUGUUAUUAUUAUUAUUAUUAUUAUUAUUAUUAUUAUUAUUAUUAUUAUUAUUAUUGUUAUUAUUAUUUUUACUAUGGUUAUUUUUGGAAAGGCAUUGUCCUUUUCACUUUGCUUCCUUUUGAUUUAUCUUUUCAUUAAUUUUUUUUAAUAUUUACUUAACAACUACGAUCAGUUUAUUGGAGUAUCACACAAGAUAACGGCCGACAACCAGUUUCAUUUCAAUAUAGAGAACAUCUUCAACUUCGACGGCACGCCACCAGAAUCGCCACCAGCUAAUUUAUUGGAGUAUCACACAAGAUAACGACCGACAACCAGUUUCAAAUCAGCAAUUCAAUAGAGAGAACAUCUUCAACUUCGACGGCACGCCACCAGAAUCGCCACCAGCUAAGAUCAGUUUAUCGGAGUACCAGACAAGAUAACGUCCGACAAACAGUUUCAAUUCAGCAAUUCAACAGAGAGUACAUCUUCAACUUCGACGGCACGCCAGCAGGAUCGCCACCAGCUAAAUGCAUUUUCCUCUUCCGUUUUCUUCCUUUCAUUGAUGUUUUUAUUUAUUUUUUUUAUAAUUACUUUUUGUGAUCGUGAUUGUGAUUAUGAUUGUAAUUGUGUGUUUGUGUUUGUGUUUGUGAUUGUGAUUGUGAUUUUGAUUGUGUUUGUGAUUGCGUUUAUGAUUGCGUUUGUGUUUGUGAUUGUGUUUGUGUUUGUGUUUGUGUUUGUGAUUGUGUUUGCGAUUGCGUUUGUGUUUGUGUUUGUGUUUGUGAUUGUGUUUGUGUUUGUGUUUGUGCUUGUGUUUGUGUUUGUGUUUCUAAUUGUGUUUGUGAUUGUGAUUAUGAUUGUCAUUGUGACUGUAAUUGUAAUUGUGAUUGUGAUUGUGAUUGAUUGUAAUUGUGAUUGUGAUUGAUUGUAAUUGUGAUUGUUAUUAUUAUUGUUAUUGUUUUUAUUGUUAUUAUUAUUAUUAUUAUUAUUAUUAUUAUAAUUUUUACUGUGGUUAUUUUUGGAAGGGCAUUGUCCUCUUCUCUUUUCUUCCUUUUGAUUUAUCUUUUUAUUAAUUUUUUUUAUAUUUACUAAACAACUAGGAUCAGUUUAUCGGAGUACCAGACAAGAUAACGUCCGACAACCAGUUUCAAAUCAGCAAUUCAACAGAGAGAACAUCUUCAACUUCGACGGCACGCGACCAGGAUCGCCACCAGCUAAAUGAAUUUUUCUCUUCCGUUUUCUUCCUUUCAUUGAUCUUUUUAUUUAUUUUCUUUUAUAUUUACUUAUUGUUAUUAUUUAUACUAUUGUUAUUAUUUAUAUUAUUAUUAUUAUUAUUAUUAUUAUUAUUAUUAUUAAUAUUAUUAUUAUUAUUAUUGUUAUUGUUAUUAUUUUUGUUAUUGUUAUUCUUAUUGUUAUUAUUAUUAUGAUUAUUAUUAUUAUUAUUAUUAUUAUUAUUAUUAUUAAUAUUAUUUUUACUAUGGUUAUUUUUGGAAGGGCAUUGUCCUCUUUCCUUUGCUUCCUUUUGAUUUAUCUUUUCAUUAAUUUUUUUUUAUAUUUACUAAACAACUAGGAUCAGUUUAUCGGAGUACCAGACAAGAUAACGUCCGACAACCAGUUUCAAAUCAGCAAUUCAACAGAGAGAACAUCUUCAACUUCGACGGCACGCGACCAGGAUCGCCACCAGCUAAAUGAAUUUUUCUCUUCCGUUUUCUUCCUUUCAUUGAUCUUUUUAUUUAUUUUCUUUUAUAUUUACUUAUUGUUAUUAUUUAUACUAUUGUUAUUAUUAUUAUUAUUAUUAUUAUUAUUAUUAUUAUUAUUAUUAUUAUUAUUAUUAUUAUUAUUAUUAUUGUUAUUGUUAUUCUUUUUGUUAUUGUUAUUCUUAUUGUUAUUAUUAUUAUUAUUAUUAUUAUUAUUUUUACGAUGGUUAUUUUUGGAAUGGCAUUAUCCUCUUUUCUUUGCUUCCUUUUGAUUUAUCUUUUCAUUAAUUUUUUUUUAUAUUUACUUAACAACUAGGAUCAGUUUAUCGGAGUACCAGACAAGAUAACGUUCGACAACCAGUUUCAAAUCAGCAAUUUAACAGAGAGUACAUCUUCAACUUCGACGGCACGCCAGCAGGAUCGCCACCAGCUAAAUGCAUUUUCCUCUUCCGUUUUCUUCCUUUCAUUGAUGUUUUUAUUUAUUUUUUUUAUAAUUACUUUUUGUGAUCGUGAUUGUGAUUAUGAUUGUAAUUGUGUGUUUGUGUUUGUGUUUGUGAUUGUGAUUGUGAUUGUGAUUUUGAUUGUGUUUGUGAUUGCGUUUAUGAUUGCGUUUGUGUUUGUGAUUGUGUUUGUGUUUGUGUUUGUGUUUGUGAUUGUGUUUGCGGUUGCGUUUGUGUUUGUGUUUGUGUUUGUGAUUGUUUUGUGUUUGUGUUUGUGCUUGUGUUUGUGUUUGUGUUUCUAAUUGUGUUUGUGAUUGUGAUUAUGAUUAUCAUUGUGACUGUAAUUGUAAUUGUGAUUGUGAUUGAUUGUAAUUGUGAUUGUGAUUGAUUGUAAUUGUGAUUGUUAUUAUUAUUAUUAUUUUUAUUGUUAUUAUUAUUAUUAUUAUUAUUAUUAUUAUUAUUAUAAUUUUUACUGUGGUUAUUUUUGGAAGGGCAUUGUCCUCUUCUCUUUUCUUCCUUUUGAUUUAUCUUUUUAUUAAUUUUUUUUAUAUUUACUAAACAACUAGGAUCAGUUUAUCGGAGUACCAGACAAGAUAACGUCCGACAACCAGUUUUAAAUCAGCAAUUGAACAGAGAGUACAUCUUCAUCUUCGACGGCACGCCACCAGUAUCACCACCAGCUAAGUGCAUUUUCCUCUUCCGUUUUCUUACUUUUAUUGAUGUUUUUGUUUAUUUUUUUUAUAAUUACUUUUUGUGAUUGUGAUUGUGAUUAUGAUUGUAAUUGUGUUUGUGUUUGUGUUUGUGUUUGUGACUGAUUGUGAUUGUGAUUGUGAUUUUGAUUGUGUUUGUGAUUGCGUUUAUGAUUGCGUUUGUGUUUAUGUUUGUGUUUGUGUUUGUGAUUGUGUUUGUGAUUGCGUUUGUGAUUGCGUUUGUGUUUGUGAUUGUUUUUGUGUUUGUGUUUGGGUUUGGGCUUGGGUUUGGGAUUGGGAUUGGGAUUGAGUUUUGGUUUGUGUUUGUGUUUGUGUUUGUGUUUGUGUUUGUGUUUGUGAUUGUGAUUGUGUUUGUGUUUGUGUUUGUGUUUGUCUUUGUGAUUGUGACUGUAAUUUGAUUGUGAUUGUGAUUGAUUGUAAUUGUGAUUGUUAUUAUUGUUGUAAUUAUUUUUAUUGUUAUUAAUAUUAUUAUUAUUAUUAUUAUUAUUAUUAUUAUUAUUAUUAUUAUUAUUAUUAUUAUUAUCAUUAGUAUUAUUAUUAUUUUUACUAUGGUUAUUUUUGGAAGGGCAUUGUCCUGUUCCCUUUGCUUCCUUUUGAUUUAUCUUUUCAUUAAUUUUUUUAUAUUUACUAAACAAUUAGGAUCAAUUUAUUGGAGUACCAGACAAGAUAACGUCCGACAACCAGUUUUAAAUCAGCAAUUCAACAGAGAGAACAUCUUCAACUUCGACGGCACGCCACCAGCUAAGUGAAUUUUCCUCUUCCAUUUUCUUCCUUUCGUUGUUCUUUUUAUUUAUUUUUUUUAAUAUUUACUUAUUGUGUUAUUAUUAUUGUUAUUAUUAUUAUUAUUAUUAUUAUUAUAUAUUAUUAUUAUAAUUGUUAUUAUAAUUAUUAUUAUUGUUAUUAUUGUAAUUAUUAUUUUUAUUAUUGUUGUUAUUAUUAUUAUUAUUAUUAUUAUUAUUAUUAUUAUUAUUAUUAUUAUUAUUAUUGUUAUUAUUAUUUUUACUAUGGUUAUUUUUGGAAAGGCAUUGUCCUUUUCACUUUGCUUCCUUUUGAUUUAUCUUUUCAUUAAUUUUUUUUAAUAUUUACUUAACAACUACGAUCAGUUUAUUGGAGUAUCACACAAGAUAACGACCGACAACCAGUUUCAUUUCAAUAUAGAGAACAUCUUCAACUUCGACGGCACGCCACCAGAAUCGCCACCAGCUAAUUUAUUGGAGUAUCACACAAGAUAACGACCGACAACCAGUUUCAAAUCAGCAAUUCAAUAGAGAGAACAUCUUCAACUUCGACGGCACGCCACCAGAAUCGCCACCAGCUAAGAUCAGUUUAUCGGAGUACCAGACAAGAUAACGUCCGACAAACAGUUUCAAUUCAGCAAUUCAACAGAGAGUACAUCUUCAACUUCGACGGCACGCCAGCAGGAUCGCCACCAGCUAAAUGCAUUUUCCUCUUCCGUUUUCUUCCUUUCAUUGAUGUUUUUAUUUAUUUUUUUUAUAAUUACUUUUUGUGAUCGUGAUUGUGAUUAUGAUUGUAAUUGUGUGUUUGUGUUUGUGUUUGUGAUUGUGAUUGUGAUUGUGAUUUUGAUUGUGUUUGUGAUUGCGUUUAUGAUUGCGUUUGUGUUUGUGAUUGUGUUUGUGUUUGUGUUUGUGUUUGUGAUUGUGUUUGCGAUUGCGUUUGUGUUUGUGUUUGUGUUUGUGAUUGUGUUUGUGUUUGUGUUUGUGCUUGUGUUUGUGUUUGUGUUUCUAAUUGUGUUUGUGAUUGUGAUUAUGAUUGUCAUUGUGACUGUAAUUGUAAUUGUGAUUGUGAUUGUGAUUGAUUGUAAUUGUGAUUGUGAUUGAUUGUAAUUGUGAUUGUUAUUAUUAUUGUUAUUGUUUUUAUUGUUAUUAUUAUUAUUAUUAUUAUUAUUAUUAUAAUUUUUACUGUGGUUAUUUUUGGAAGGGCAUUGUCCUCUUCUCUUUUCUUCCUUUUGAUUUAUCUUUUUAUUAAUUUUUUUUAUAUUUACUAAACAACUAGGAUCAGUUUAUCGGAGUACCAGACAAGAUAACGUCCGACAACCAGUUUCAAAUCAGCAAUUCAACAGAGAGAACAUCUUCAACUUCGACGGCACGCGACCAGGAUCGCCACCAGCUAAAUGAAUUUUUCUCUUCCGUUUUCUUCCUUUCAUUGAUCUUUUUAUUUAUUUUCUUUUAUAUUUACUUAUUGUUAUUAUUUAUACUAUUGUUAUUAUUUAUAUUAUUAUUAUUAUUAUUAUUAUUAUUAUUAUUAUUAUUAAUAUUAUUAUUAUUAUUAUUGUUAUUGUUAUUAUUUUUGUUAUUGUUAUUCUUAUUGUUAUUAUUAUUAUGAUUAUUAUUAUUAUUAUUAUUAUUAUUAUUAUUAUUAAUAUUAUUUUUACUAUGGUUAUUUUUGGAAGGGCAUUGUCCUCUUUCCUUUGCUUCCUUUUGAUUUAUCUUUUCAUUAAUUUUUUUUUAUAUUUACUAAACAACUAGGAUCAGUUUAUCGGAGUACCAGACAAGAUAACGUCCGACAACCAGUUUCAAAUCAGCAAUUCAACAGAGAGAACAUCUUCAACUUCGACGGCACGCGACCAGGAUCGCCACCAGCUAAAUGAAUUUUUCUCUUCCGUUUUCUUCCUUUCAUUGAUCUUUUUAUUUAUUUUCUUUUAUAUUUACUUAUUGUUAUUAUUUAUACUAUUGUUAUUAUUAUUAUUAUUAUUAUUAUUAUUAUUAUUAUUAUUAUUAUUAUUAUUAUUAUUAUUAAUAUUAUUAUUAUUAUUAUUGUUAUUGUUAUUCUUUUUGUUAUUGUUAUUCUUAUUGUUAUUAUUAUUAUUAUUAUUAUUAUUAUUUUUACGAUGGUUAUUUUUGGAAUGGCAUUAUCCUCUUUUCUUUGCUUCCUUUUGAUUUAUCUUUUCAUUAAUUUUUUUUUAUAUUUACUUAACAACUAGGAUCAGUUUAUCGGAGUACCAGACAAGAUAACGUUCGACAACCAGUUUCAAAUCAGCAAUUUAACAGAGAGUACAUCUUCAACUUCGACGGCACGCCAGCAGGAUCGCCACCAGCUAAAUGCAUUUUCCUCUUCCGUUUUCUUCCUUUCAUUGAUGUUUUUAUUUAUUUUUUUUAUAAUUACUUUUUGUGAUCGUGAUUGUGAUUAUGAUUGUAAUUGUGUGUUUGUGUUUGUGUUUGUGAUUGUGAUUGUGAUUGUGAUUUUGAUUGUGUUUGUGAUUGCGUUUAUGAUUGCGUUUGUGUUUGUGAUUGUGUUUGUGUUUGUGUUUGUGUUUGUGAUUGUGUUUGCGGUUGCGUUUGUGUUUGUGUUUGUGUUUGUGAUUGUUUUGUGUUUGUGUUUGUGCUUGUGUUUGUGUUUGUGUUUCUAAUUGUGUUUGUGAUUGUGAUUAUGAUUAUCAUUGUGACUGUAAUUGUAAUUGUGAUUGUGAUUGAUUGUAAUUGUGAUUGUGAUUGAUUGUAAUUGUGAUUGUUAUUAUUAUUAUUAUUUUUAUUGUUAUUAUUAUUAUUAUUAUUAUUAUUAUUAUUAUUAUAAUUUUUACUGUGGUUAUUUUUGGAAGGGCAUUGUCCUCUUCUCUUUUCUUCCUUUUGAUUUAUCUUUUUAUUAAUUUUUUUUAUAUUUACUAAACAACUAGGAUCAGUUUAUCGGAGUACCAGACAAGAUAACGUCCGACAACCAGUUUUAAAUCAGCAAUUGAACAGAGAGUACAUCUUCAUCUUCGACGGCACGCCACCAGUAUCACCACCAGCUAAGUGCAUUUUCCUCUUCCGUUUUCUUACUUUUAUUGAUGUUUUUGUUUAUUUUUUUUAUAAUUACUUUUUGUGAUUGUGAUUGUGAUUAUGAUUGUAAUUGUGUUUGUGUUUGUGUUUGUGUUUGUGACUGAUUGUGAUUGUGAUUGUGAUUUUGAUUGUGUUUGUGAUUGCGUUUAUGAUUGCGUUUGUGUUUAUGUUUGUGUUUGUGUUUGUGAUUGUGUUUGUGAUUGCGUUUGUGAUUGCGUUUGUGUUUGUGAUUGUUUUUGUGUUUGUGUUUGGGUUUGGGCUUGGGUUUGGGAUUGGGAUUGGGAUUGAGUUUUGGUUUGUGUUUGUGUUUGUGUUUGUGUUUGUGAUUGUGAUUGUGUUUGUGUUUGUGUUUGUGUUUGUCUUUGUGAUUGUGACUGUAAUUUGAUUGUGAUUGUGAUUGAUUGUAAUUGUGAUUGUUAUUAUUGUUGUAAUUAUUUUUAUUGUUAUUAAUAUUAUUAUUAUUAUUAUUAUUAUUAUUAUUAUUAUUAUUAUUAUUAUUAUUAUUAUCAUUAGUAUUAUUAUUAUUUUUACUAUGGUUAUUUUUGGAAGGGCAUUGUCCUGUUCCCUUUGCUUCCUUUUGAUUUAUCUUUUCAUUAAUUUUUUUAUAUUUACUAAACAAUUAGGAUCAAUUUAUUGGAGUACCAGACAAGAUAACGUCCGACAACCAGUUUUAAAUCAGCAAUUCAACAGAGAGAACAUCUUCAACUUCGACGGCACGCCACCAGCUAAUUUAUUGGAGUAUCACACAAGAUAACGACCGACAACCAGUUUCAUUUCAAUAUAGAGAACAUCUUCAACUUCGACGGCACGCCACCAGAAUCGCCACCAGCUAAUUUAUUGGAGUAUCACACAAGAUAACGACCGACAACCAGUUUCAAAUCAGCAAUUCAAUAGAGAGAACAUCUUCAACUUCGACGGCACGCCACCAGAAUCGCCACCAGCUAAGUGAAUUUUCUCUUUCCUUUUCUUCCUUUCAUUGAUCUUUUUAUUUAUUUUUUUUAUAUUUACUUAUUGUGUUAUUAUUGUUAUUAUUAUUGUUAUUAUUAUUCUUAUUAUUUUUAUUACUAUU